GUAGAAUUGGAAGAUAUCCUUCCUCAGAUUCUCAGCCAUCUCGGACCAGACAACAUGGAGAACCUGAAGAAGCUAGCAGAGCAGUUCAAGAAGCAAUCUCCUGGUGGAGGUAAUGUCCCAGCAACCAUUCAAGAGGAUGAUGAGGACGAUGAUGAUGUCCCGGAUCUUGUAGCUGGUGAGACUUUCGAAGCCGCCGCUGAAGAGAAAGUAGCUGCUGCUUCUUCUUAAGACAAAAGAGCGAGACAACAACAACAACAACAACAAAACCGCACUUGAAUUAUUACAUAUCUUUAUAAUUUUGCUUGUUCGCUCUAUCCUCUUUUUUGUAGUGCUUCCGACCAGAUUCUUGUUUCCCAGAUAAUGAUUUAAGGUUUUAUAUCUA